rnacentral:rRNA from 1 species
UCCUACGGGAGGCAGCAGUAGGGAAUUUUCGUCAAUGGGCGCAAGCCUGAACGAGCGAUGCCGCGUGAGUGAAGAAGGCCUUCGGGUCGUAAAGCUCUGUUGCGGGGGAAAAAAGGCAGCAUCAGGAAAUGGGUGCUGACUGAUGGUGCCCCGCCAGAAAGUCAAGGCUAACUACGUGCCAGCAGCCGCGGUAAUACGUAGGUGGCGAGCGUUAUCCGGAAUGAUUGGGCGUAAAGGGUGCGCAGGCG